AACGAACGCUGGCGGCAGGCUUAACACAUGCAAGUCGAGCGCCCCGCAAGGGGAGCGGCAGACGGGUGAGUAACGCGUGGGAACGUACCUUUUGGUUCGGAAAAACUCCGGGAAACUGGAGCUAAUACCGGAUAAGCCCUAACGGGGAAAGAUUUAUCGCCGAAAGAUCGGCCCGCGUCUGAUUAGCUAGUUGGUGAGGUAACGGCUCACCAAGGCGACGAUCAGUAGCUGGUCUGAGAGGAUGAUCAGCCACACUGGGACUGAGACACGGCCCAGACUCCUACGGGAGGCAGCAGUGGGGAAUAUUGGACAAUGGGCGCAAGCCUGAUCCAGCCAUGCCGCGUGAGUGAUGAAGGCCUUAGGGUUGUAAAGCUCUUUUGUCCGGGAAGAUAAUGACUGUACCGGAAGAAUAAGCCCCGGCUAACUUCGUG
rnacentral:rRNA from 1 species